CUAUACAUAUUGCAUGUAUAAGUCAGGUAUGAAAGGCUGAUCACCUUCAUUACCAGUUGGUUCAGAUAUAUUUGUUCAUGUAUAAUACUUGUUCAGUCAUAAAUUUGUUCCUGCUAGUUCACGAUUAUAUUGUUGAAUUAUAGCCAGCCAAUUAUUCAAAUCAUGAUAUAUCGUUAUAUUGUUGAAAUUAAACUUGCUUUGCAACUUUCAUGCUCACCCUUGCUAUAUCAUGAUAAAACAUUGCAGAUUAAGGCGAAUACGUAGGAUAUAAGGAAAGGUCCAAGACAGUUCCAGCUUUAGUAGACGCGUGCAGUUAGAUUUGUAUUGUAUGAUAUUAAUGUUGUUAUAUGUUAGAAAAGUUAUGAAUUAUGUAUAAGUUAAGGUUACUCAACCUUGGGGAAUAGUGUGUAAUGUAAUGUAUAAACAAUUUAUUUUUAUAUCUUCCACAAAUUAUAAUAGUUGUAUAGAAUGAUCGAACCGGAUCUGCGGUGAUUCGGGACCUCGGAUUCGGGGCCCUCACAGUUGGUAUCAAAGCUGUAGGUUAUGAACCUUAGGUAGGAAUACCUGAGACUAAUAACUGCCGUGAUUAGGAUAAGUACUAACUCAACUAGAAUUAGUUGGUCGGUAAGAUUCAAAGACGAAUCUCGACGAGUUAUAAGAUACAGAGUUCCCUAACUCUGAUAAUAAAGUUGAACAGUAGUGGUGAAUAGAUAGAGUCUAAAAGACUAAAAGUACAGAGAUAAGAGAUCGUAAAAUAAAACGAUCAUAAAAUAGAAAUGAAUCGUAAUAUAUACGAUGAGAUCACCCCGUGAUCGAAUAAGGUUAUAGUAUGGAGAAGGAUCAAGCGAAUGAUUGAAAAGUGUACAUCAAGAUUACUGGGUGUCGGUUGUACUAUGAAUUGGUACAGAUUCAGGAAAUGAUUAUGAAUACAAGUUAAAUGAAAUUCGUAUUGAGAAGGGUCUUAGUGUUAGGUGGGGAUUCAAUUGAGGAUUCAUAUCGGCAGCUGAGUUGUAUGAUUCCUUGUGUGGGCAGGGAAUUGUACUAGUGUAAUAACUACUUAGUUCUGACAAUGAUAAUCAGUGAAAUGUUUGUGUCGCGCUAUUUGAUAUAUGCAUCUUAAGAGGGUGAUUCCUUUCUCAUGUGUAUAACAGAUAGAUAGGUUAUAGGUAGAGGAUAUAGGGUUAAGUACGGGUUCUUAAAACUCAUACUUAUAUGACAUUCUUGACUCAUAGUUAUAUGAAAUGUUUAUGAACCCCUCAGCGAACGGACGCCAAAGGUCAGACUAGGAAAGUUCUUAAACUCAUAUAAUUGUGGAAAUUUAUGGACUCAUAAGUGUGGUUUGACGAACUGGGUAUAGUUGUGUGUAAAUAGAGUAUUAAAAACUAUAGGAAUAGAUAGAUUUUUUUUAAACAAAUGAUUAUUAGUGGAGACAUAAGUUUUUCGAAACUCCUAGUUAUGCUAGACUUCGAAAUUUUAACAUCAAGCUAAAUACGCACUAUGUGCUUUUAAAAAAAAUAUAUAGACUCGUAAUCAUUUUUGAAAUGGUUUAAAGUAUAGUCUAUGCUACUUAUUUUAGCUAGACGCAAAUGAUUUGAAAUAUCAAAAUUUGUUUUAUUUAUCAUUCAUGUACCAUGUAACCUGGUGCAGAGAUGAUAAAAAUUUGAUGGAGUUGUAAAUACAAGAAUACUUAGUGUGAAUUUGAUCUAAAAUCGGUGUUCCACUAUGGUAUGAUGUGUUAUGACAAAGUCAUAUAAUGACGGCAUCCUCAAACGGACUGUUAAUACAGUACGGCAUCAUGACGUCAUUCUCGAAAAUAUUUUCAAAAAUUUUAAUUUGCCAACGGGGUUUGGCUUCACCUAAAUAAUUCGAUUGAAUUGAAUUAUUGAUAUAAGUCUAUGCUAUUCGAUUCAGCUAGACUAAUGUUAUGAAAACUCUAAGUGUUCAUUGAAAGAAAUUUCCCGAACCAAAUUACUUUGGUACGGAAUCCUAUGAUAAGACUGAGGUGAACUAUGUUGUUUGGAUAAAUAAUCCAAUCAAGUAGCGUAAAUAUUCGCUAUACAUGAUUAAUACGUUAUGCAUGAUGUAAGAGUACGAUAGGCUGAUCACCUAAAGUACUAACAACGGUAGUUUACCUUCUUUGUGAUUGUAAACAUACCAAGUAAUGUAUUGUUUUACGGUAUGAUCAAAAUCGUUAAAACUAUGUGUUCAUGGUCUAUAUGACCCCUCAGCACAAUUUGAAAACUUUUACUCUUGUGGGUGGUGUAUUCGGUAGCAAGCGAAUAUGUAUGAAUAGUGUAAGUAGUAUGGUGUAAGGUAAAUUUCGGGGACGGAAUUUUUAGAAGAAGGGGUGAAUGUGACAACCCGAGAAUUUUGAAUAUUUUAAUUUUUUUAUUAAUUGAUUUAAGGUUCAGUAUUAGAACCUAGACAAAAAAUUAGUGUAUGCGUUUGAUAUUUUUAAGAAGGAAUUUUAAGGAUUUCAAAAUUCUAUGAAGGAUUUAGGUGAAUUAUUCAGGAUUAAGGAAAACAUGAUUAUGUUCUAUGUAUAUGUGUACAGUAUAUAUGGUUGAGGGUCAAGGGUUGACCAGAUAAUCGAUAUCUGUAACAAACCCUAAUAUUAUAUUAAGAACGUCAACGUUCGGUUAGAAAACCCUAGCGUUUAACAAGAAACCCUAGACACCGGUUCUGGAAACCCUAAUUUUAGUUCCGAGAAUCCAAAACCCUAAUUCGGUGCAUGAAACCCUAAAUCGGGAACUUAAUGGCGUAAGUAUAAAUAAUUAUAGGAUUAAUUAGGGUUAAUCUUAACAAAUUGGUUACAAAACCUUAAUUCCAAAUUUGAAACCCUAAUUACGGAAUUGAAACCCUAAUAUGUAAAUAGGGAAAAAACCUAAGUGUUAAUUUAAUACUUUUAAUGUUAAUUAUGAUAUAUUAAUUCUAAUUUUCAAGUUAAGUAAUUAUAAAACCCUAAUCUAAUUACAAAAUCUAAUUUCUAAUUUAGAAAAUUAAUUUUCUAUUAGAAACCCUAAUUUUGGGUUAUAAACCCUAAUCCGUGAUUUAGACCCUAAUUGCUAAAUUAGCGAUUUUAAUUAGGAAAUACUAAUCCUAAUUAGCAAGAUUUAAAUUAUAAUUAAGAAAUUUUAAUAUAAUUAUAAAAUUCUAAUUAUAAUUUAAAAAUAUUAAUUUUCUAUUUUGAAAACCAAAAUUUGGAAAUUUUAGGAAAUUAAAUUGCAAAUCAUAAAAUUUUUCAAACCCUAAACCCUAAAAUUUUCCAAACCCUAAACCCUAACUAAACCCUAAACCCUAAGAGUUUGGCCAAUUGUCUAAAAUGUCAUUAAAAUUAAAUGCUAAAAGAUUAUUUUGCCCUUUGUGCAUUAUUUAGUGUUGCUUGUAAAUCUAGACCUAUGAUGAGUUGCUCACAAAACCCUAGCCCAGCAUGUGACUAAUAUGACCAGCAAUCUCAGCAAUCUCGGCAACAUACAUCAUAUACAAUCUUAUAUAGAUUUAAGAAAGAGAAAAAGGCCACUUUACUCUCAUUUUCUCCCAAGCCCAUUCUCUCUCUAGAAAUUUGGGACUUAGUAUGAGAGAGAUUAAGAAUCAAAGCUAGGGUCAGUUCAUACCAAGCCAAAGACAGAAUCAAAAGUCAGAAAUCAAAGAUCAUGCUUGAAACGUAUAAAACCCAAAAAUUUCGAAAAUCAUGUAAUACAUGUUGUUUGAUGUUAGUUGUUGUUUAAAGUUGUGUAUUAGAGUGUCAUUUGAUGAUCUGGGUUGUCAAAACUCAGAUCCAUAUAAUCUAGAUGCUUGAAUCUAAAGAUUUAUCAAAUCUGGAAAAGUUGAAAAAAAAAUCGUCUGACAGCCAUAUGUCAGCCCUCAUAGAUCUCUCUAUGUUAAUGUUUAGGUGUGUUUUAUGUUUUAUAUUUAUUCUUUGUUGUUUGGUCUUGGAUCUGAGACUUUAAUCAAGCUCAUAUCAUGUGUUUAUUCCACGUUAUGAUCGAUCAAAGUACGUUGACCGAGCAUGACUUCUGGAAAUCAGGGCAAUCCCAGAAACCCAGAAAGUCUGACAGUGAUAUUGCAGGCCUUGAUCUUGAUUAUCUGUAAUGUUUUAUGUAAUUUUAUUAUUUUUUCGUUAUAGCCUGACAUGAGGACUACUUGUUAAAACAUUUAGAUCACCCAGAUCCAUAACUGAAACGAUGUUAUAGCCGGUCAAACAACCGUUGACCAACUGACCGGAUGAAGAUUUCUGGGAAACCCAAAUCUUCAAGAACCGAUUUCUGACCCUUACUUUGACCAACGUUGAUCUGUUAGGUGUGAUGAUGUUAUUAUGUUAUUAUGAUAUAUAUUUGUGCUAUGACAUGUUAGCUACAUGAUCGAACCCUUAUAUUACACAAAUCAGGCUUUAACAUCAAAGAUUCAAAGGCCCUAAAGUAACACCUCGACUGUUCUUUAAAUGCUGGGAAACCCAGAAUUGAAGAACAGUGUCUGACAAUAUUUUGAUACACUAUAUCUCACUGAUUUGGUGUCGGUUGGCCAUGAUGUUUGUUUAAGGUUGUAGUAUUGCAUCAAUACUAUAAUAUGAACCCAAAAACCGUAACCAGAUACAUAAAAAUCUAUGAUUUAGGACUGGUCAAACCAUGCCCCUCGAAGUCUGACAUGAAGAUUUGGGCAGGCUUAAGAACACCUCAAGAACACCUAUAGCGACUGGUCUAUCGCUAUAGGGCCCUUUAGCGACAGUUUCUAUUUUAUUUUAAUUUCUGAUAUUCCAAAAAUUAUUUAAAAAUAGAUAAAAAUGGUUUUUAAUUACUAAAAAUACUAAAUAAAUUCUGAAAAAUUAUUUUAAAUUCUGAAUAAUAGUUUUUAAUUAUUUUAAGUAUACUUCAUAAAUAUUUAAUAUUUUUGGAAUAUAAAUUGUAUUUAAUUUAUUUAAUUAUAAUAUUAAAUAAAUUAUUUAAAAUGAUUUAAAUACAUGAAAAAUCAUGAAAAAUAAUAUUAUGGUAUAAUAAAAUAUUUGAAGUUAUUUUUAGUAACUUUUAAUAUUUUAGGAUGAAUUUCAUUAAUUAAUUAAUAUUAAUUGCAAUUAGUUUAUUUAAUAACUAUAUUAAAUAAAUUAAGGAAAAUUAGAAUUAGUGUUUUAUAAAUCAUAUAAAAAGGAUUUAAAGGUUAUAAAAAUAUUUUAAGUUAUAAUAUAUAACUUUUGAUAUUUUGUCCUGAAAAUAUUAAUAUUUUAAUAUUAAAAGUAAUUAUUGGAUAGUGAAUUUAAUUGUUUAAAAAUUAUAUAAAGGUGAUUUUAAAGUAUUAAAAAUACUUAAUGAUAUUAUAAAUAUAUUAUAAUAUUAUGACAUGUAUUUCAUUAAUAUUUGAUAUUAAAUAAAUAUUAAUGAUAAAAGAAUUGUGUGGUAUUUAAUUUAGUUAAAUACAUUAUUAAUGAUUGAAAAUAUACGAUAAAUAAUAAUAAUUAUUUUAAAAAUUAUUACGAACUUAUGAAAAUUAUUUUGACUGCUUAGAAAAUUUUCUAAGUUAAUUGUUAAGUGUUAAGUCAGAGUUUAAUUGAACUUAGACUCGAUAGUUGUCCGACUAGACCGUCGGGAUGUCAGUUUUGUGUCGGGUUCAACUCAAGCUGCAAUAGUUUGACUUGAUACCGAGUCUUAUGUGUGUUAUAGACUGAUAGGAUUAUGUGUUAUGUGUUUAGGUUAUUCUAUGUUUAUAUAUAUUAUAGUAUUAUAUUAUGAUGAUAUUAAUCUAGUAUUGGAGAUCUAUAUUACUAAUAUUAGGUCUUCGGAUAAAGUGUUAUAAAUUGUGUUGCGGUAAUCAAUGGUUCAGGUAAGUUUGUUUUUACUUAACUCUACUAAGAGUGUUUCAUUCGGAUAAGCUUAUGGUUAAUCAUUGUUGGAUGCCAUGUAUUGUACUCUGUACAUAUUGCAUUUAUAAGUCAGGUAUGAAAGGUUGAUCACCUUCAUUACCAGUUGGUUUAGAUAUAUUUGUUUAUGUAUAAUACUUGUUCAGUCAUAAAUUUGUUCCUGCUAGUUCACAAUUAUAUUGUUGAAUUAUAGCCAGCCAAUUAUUCAAAUCAUUUCAAUCAUGAUAUAUCGUUAUAUUGUUGAAUUUAAACUUG
rnacentral:lncRNA from 1 species